rnacentral:lncRNA from 1 species
GGAUUGUUUCCUGACCUAUAUCCAUGACCGGGUAUAUUUUUAUUACAAAAUUCAAGCUGUAAUUCUUAUCUCGCCUUCAAGGUACCUGUAAGCCAGUGACCUCAAUCCUGACCUACGACAGUCACCCACUCCCCACCAGAACGGAAAAGGUCAUUUAGUCACCUCGGCCAGCGGUCCUCAGGAGACUCCAACAUUCCAGCUCCCCGUAGUGUUCUCAGGGCCGAUGUCUUCUCUCCAAGUAACAGAAGAAAUGAGUACUACAACCCCAAGCCAAGCCCCGUUUUGCUUAUGACCCUGAGAGAACAGAACCAACCAGAGCAGAAUUUCCUCAGCUUUCUGCUUUCAUGUACACAACCAGCUUGCAUCCCUUCAGUACCCAGAAGCCAACCCUGCAGUCACAAGCCUGUGUGGCUUUGUCCCUCCCCUCCCCCCCCCCCCCCGAGCCCUUGGCUCCUGAGGCUCGGCUUCCUGUGACAUCAGGUUCCUUUCCUAGCAGAUCAUUCCCAUCAGCAUUCAGUUUUAAUUCUAUGCUUCUUUCCCCACUUCUGCUGAAGACCUCAGAAGUUGCAGCUCCUCUGGAUUGACCAAAUCUGGAGUUGAUUACACAACUACAUCACAGGCACAAUUACAGAGUGAGACCCAGUGAACCAUCCUCACCUAUUUUAUAUUGCAAGUUUCAUUCUUCACUGGUGUUCUGGGAACAUUUCAUCUUUCUCAUCAUAAAAUGUGUUUCACUUGAUGUGAUCACUUCUCAGAGUGACACGGGGACACGCAUUUUCAGAGGACAUGCCAAGUCCGAGAACUUCAGUUUACACACACAUGCUCAAGAUAACCUUUGCUGAUGUAGGAGCAUGCAAUGAUCUGUCUCAGUGAGGUCACAUAGAGAAGUCUGUGACCAGUCCCAUUGCCUUUCCUGGUAAUUUACUUUUAAAAGUGGUCUCUCUGUGUGGAAGUCCAUGAUCUGUGCUGCCACUGACUGUAAAGGGCAAGGCAGCUUCUUCUGUAUGACUGCAGACUCAUAGUUGAGAAUGAGACAUGGAAGGCCUUGCAGACACCCCUCCCCUCCCCUCUUCCCCUUCCACCCCGCCCCCCAGAAAGAAACAAUCUAGACAGGAAGCCACUGAAGGUAACUCUUAAAAAUUGUGAUGGGGAUCCUGAAGUGUAGCUCUUCACAGUUACAGCUUCUGGAGUGAGGGGGUGGGGGUGGGGUGGCAUGGAGGUGGGUUCUGUUUUCUCUAAGGGGCUGGCCACUCAGAGCUUGACCAUGCCGCACACAAACUGACCAUGGGCCACACAAACUGGACUUGUUUCAUUUUUGUUGUUGUUAUUGAUGUUUUUUUUUUUUCUCUUAGGGCAAGGUGACAGGGUGGGGCGGGGUACUGUGGGGCUGGAAAGACUGGGAAGUUGAUGGAGUGCAUUAUUUGAAACUCUCAAAUAAUCAAUAAAAAUAUUAUGUUG